CAAUAGCGUAUAUUAAAGUUGUUGCAGUUAAAAAGCUCGUAGUUGGAGUUCAGAGUGAGCUCGUCCGGUCGGCCUUAUGGGUCAGAACUGGUUGACUCUCUCUUGUUUGUGGAUCCUGUCAGCAGUUAACUCUGUUGAUGUGGAGUCCACAUCGUUUACCUUGAAAAAAUUAGAGUGUUCAAAGCAGGCGUUUGCUUGAAUAUAUUAGCAUGGAAUAAUGGAAUAGGACGCUGGUUCUAUUUUGUUGGUUUUGAGAACCAGAGUAAUGAUUAAUAGGGACAGUUGGGGGCAUUUGUAUUCAAACGACAGAGGUGAAAUUCUUGGACCGUUUGAAGACAAACUACUGC
rnacentral:rRNA from 1 species